GGGAAUAUUGGGCAAUGGGCGAAAGCCUGAUCCAGCAAUGCCGCGUGUGUGAAGAAGGCCCUAGGGUUGUAAAGCACUUUCAGUGGGGAAGAAAAGCGGAGUGUUAAUACCACUCUGUGCUGACGUUACCCACAGAAGAAGCACCGGCUAACUCCGUGCCAGCAGCCGCGGUAAUACGGAGGGUGCGAGCGUUAAUCGGAAUUACUGGGCGUAAAGGGCGCGUAGGUGGUUUGAUAAGUCGGAUGUGAAAGCCCCGGGCUUAACUUGGGAAUUGCAUUCGAUACUGUCAGGCUGGAGUGUGGUAGAGGAAAGCGGAAUUCCCGGUGUAGCGGUGAAAUGCGUAGAUAUCGGGAGGAACAUCAGUGGCGAAGGCGGCUUUCUGGACCAACACUGACACUGAGGCGCGAAAGCGUGGGGAGCAAAC
rnacentral:rRNA from 1 species